rnacentral:piRNA from 1 species
UGGUGGAUGAGCGCGGCUUCGUAUGGGA